ensembl:lncRNA
GCAAACUGAUAUGUGUCACGUAUUAAUGCCAAAAUAACAUACAAAACAAGACCCCCGCCUCCCCCAAAAAGUGUGGUCCCUGCCCCACCUGCCCUGAAUGACGGGUCUCCACUGGUUGACAUCAUGUUUGAAUGACUACCCUUUCCUCUGUCCAUAUCUGUAGAUCCCUCAGUCAAGUAGGGAGUUUCAAGCAGAGAUUCAACUACAAAGACCACGGAGGUUUUCUAAAGCCUCAUAAAGGGCAGUGAUUGGUAGAUGGCUAACAAUAACAAAUCAGACGUUUAAUAUCUCGUUAAGCAUGGUCAAGUUAAUAAAUGCUGUGGAUGAUGUAUUAAACCACCCAAACCAGUGGAGGCUGCUGAGGGGAGGAUGACUCAUAGUAAUGUCUGGAAUGGAGUAAAUGGAAUGGUAUCAAACACAUCAAAGACAUGGUUUCCAUAUGGUUGAUACCACUCCAUUGACUAAAUUUCAGCCAUUAUUAUGAGCCAUCCUCCCCUCAGCAGUCUUUACUGGCCCAGACACACCAAAGGUACAGUCGUCCUUCUGAACUGCAGGAUAGGGAGGGAACUGCUUAGGGUUGUCACCAUCAACAGUGACAAGCAACGGGGGUCUGACAACUUGGAUGGAAAAUUACUGAAAAUAAUAGCGGACCCUAUUGCCUAUCUAAUCUAAGCUUACUAGAAAGUGUUUACCCUCAGGUCUGGAGGGAAGCAAAAGUCAUUCCGCUACUCAAGAAUAGUAAAGCCCCUUUUACCGCUCAAAUAGCUGACCAAUCAGCCUGUUACCAACAAUAAGAAUAUUUCAAAGAUAAAUACACAAUGCAGAGACAGAGGAUGAGAAGUCAAUAGAGUAACAACGAUCAAUGGAAAUAGUGGUUUUUCUGUAAUAGGGAAUUAUCCAUGGAAAUAGUUGGUUUUCAGUUCAACAUCUGUUAGGAAUGUCCGUCCUGAACUUACAGUGUGGCACGUUCCCAUUGGUCCAACCUGAAAUAGGAUACAGUUUUAUUGCAAGGAAUUCUAAUUGGUCAACCACAGGAUAGGGCUGGGUUAUAAACUACACCCUGUCCCUUUGUUCUGUGGAGAACCACAGGAGAGAAUCACUGGGAGAGCAUCACUGAGGACAGGGGAGAAUCACUGGGAGAGCAUCACUGAGGACAGGGGAGAAUCACUGG